UAAAGGGAUUUUUUUUUUUUUGGAGUAAUAAAAAGGCUGUAUUAGCCUGAACUCAAGCCCUGCUUCCCGCCUUUCUCAUUUGGUGUAGUUCUAAAGCGGUUCCUUCUGCUUCUGCUUCUGCUUCUGCUUCCAUCCCACUUCAACAAGACUCAAUGGGCAUCAAGGGUUUAACCAAGCUUUUAGCUGAUAAUGCCCCCAAGGGCAUGAAGGAGCAGAAGUUCGAAGCCUAUUUCGGCCGUAAAAUUGCUAUUGAUGCUAGCAUGAGUAUUUAUCAAUUUCUUAUUGUUGUGGGUAGAAGUGGGACUGAGAUGCUCACCAACGAAGCUGGUGAAGUCACUAGCCAUUUGCAAGGGAUGUUUAACCGAACAAUAAGGCUUCUCGAAGCUGGAAUUAAGCCAGUCUAUGUCUUUGAUGGAAAGCCUCCUGAUUUGAAAAAACAAGAACUUGCAAAACGCUAUUCAAAGAGAGCAGAUGCCACUGAGGACCUAGCAGAUGCAAUCGAGGUUGGCAACAAGGAUGAUAUUGAGAAAUUCAGUAAAAGGACAGUAAAGGUUACAAAGCAGCACAAUGAUGACUGCAAAAGACUUUUGAGACUCAUGGGAGUGCCUGUGAUCGAGGCUCCCUCGGAAGCUGAGGCACAAUGUGCUGCACUUUGCAAGUUAGGAAAGGUUUAUGCUGUGGCAUCAGAAGACAUGGAUUCACUAACAUUUGGAUCUCCCAGAUUUCUUCGUCACUUAAUGGAUCCCAGCUCAAGGAAGAUCCCAGUUAUGGAAUUUGAAGUGGCAAAGAUUUUGGAAGAGCUGAACCUCACCAUGGAUCAAUUUAUUGAUUUGUGCAUUCUUUCUGGAUGUGAUUAUUGUGACAAUAUCCGAGGUAUUGGGGGGCUGACUGCUCUAAAGCUUAUCCGUCAACAUGGGUCUAUAGAGAGUAUAUUAGAGAACAUAAAUAAAGAGAGGUACCAAAUUCCAGAUGAUUGGCCUUAUAAAGAGGCUCGACAGCUUUUCAAAGAACCACUAGUAUGUACUGACGAAGAGCAACUUGACAUUAAGUGGACUACUCCAGACGAAGAAGGCUUAUUAACAUUUUUGGUGAAUGAGAAUGGGUUCAACAGUGAGAGAGUGACAAAGGCAGUAGAAAAAAUUAAAGCAGCCAAGAACAAGUCAUCACAGGGCCGGAUGGAGUCAUUUUUCAAGCCUGUUACUAAUCCUUCAGUAUCCAUUAAACGAAAGGUAAACAAAUGUGUACUUAGGUCUCCCAAACCAGGAGCCCAACAUAAAUUCUCCUUACAAGCAUUUUAUUUUUCAAGGUCAAAGGUCAUUGGCAGCCUAGGCAUGUCAAUGUUAGACCAUUCGUCCAAGUACUCUGGGUCAGGCCCAUUAGUUAUGGCUGCAUGCUUCAGCACAUAAAGCUGAAAACCCUGGUGAAAUUGUAGAACUAAUCUAUGUAAUUCAAGUAAUUACACUUGGUGCAUAUGUAGUCGCUUUCAGAACUGUACUUGAAAAUCUUCAUCCUUAAUUCCCUUAAACCUUAUUGUACCACUACAAGUGAAUAAGAGUGGAAACUAUUAUUAAGGAGCUCAAGGUGCUGGAUUUGGCAGAGUUCUGGUUAAUUGAAACCCAUCAUCUGGUUCUUUAAUAUUCAGAAUAUUGGCGUGCAGUGUAGACGCAGUUUUGACGCAUUGUCCUGAAGUUGUGGUGAAGAAACAUCAGAAAAGCCUACCAAACAAGCAAUAACGAAGAAAUCGAAGUUCGGUGGUAGUAAAAGAAAGUAGGUGAGUUGGUUGCAUCACCAUUCUCAAAUUAGUAUAUAACUAACUUGAUGUCUUUAGUAAGAUUUGUUUUUAAGUUUUCGUUGGCUGUAAUUGUUGAAGUUGCAUGUUAUAGGACUAAUUUUCUUGUAUUUAUAUGACAUCGGUGUGCAAUUUUAGAAGGUAACUACAAUCUAUCAUUACUUCCUCCCUCAGUAAUCAAUAUCGUGUUUCUGUUCA